AUUGAACGCUGGCGGCAUGCCUUACACAUGCAAGUCGAACGGCAGCACGGGUGCUUGCACCUGGUGGCGAGUGGCGAACGGGUGAGUAAUACAUCGGAACAUGUCCUGUAGUGGGGGAUAGCCCGGCGAAAGCCGGAUUAAUACCGCAUACGAUCUACGGAUGAAAGCGGGGGACCUUCGGGCCUCGCGCGAUAGGGUUGGCCGAUGGCUGAUUAGCUAGUUGGUGGGGUAAAGGCCUACCAAGGCGACGAUCAGUAGCUGGUCUGAGAGGACGAGCAGCCACACUGGGACUGAGACACGGCCCAGACUCCUACGGGAGGCAGCAGUGGGGAAUUUUGGACAAUGGGCGAAAGCCUGAUCCAGCAAUGCCGCGUGUGUGAAGAAGGCCUUCGGGUUGUAAAGCACUUUUGUCCGGAAAGAAAUGCUUGGCCCUAAUACGGUCGGGGGAUGACGGUACCGGAAGAAUAAGCACCGGCUAACUACGUG
rnacentral:rRNA from 1 species